rnacentral:lncRNA from 1 species
UAUGACAGCCCGCUGCCACGAAAUUCUCCAAAGGAUAAUAUGUGUAAUACAGGGAAAUCAUCUUUCAUGAAUGGACGUGGGCACAUGCUUCAAAGAGAGCUUUCAGACUUGGAGUUGGGAGAACUUCGGGAGCCUCCAUCACAGGAAACAGCUGGGUUAAACAAGCAGUUUGAGAGGAAAAGUUCUGGGAGAACUUCGGGAGCCUCCGCCACAGGAAACAGCUGGGUUAAACAAGCAGUUUGAGAGGAAAAGUUCUUUUAAAGGAGAGAAUAGACCAACAAGUUCAGAUUAUUGGAAUUUUGAGUCAACUAAAGGAAGAACUACAGAGAAGAAUGUAGCAGAGGUUAGAAGAUCAUCUCCUCUCCAGUCAAGCGCUGUGCCUUCUGGGGCUCCAAAUGGCUUUUCUAAAAGGAGGACCCCAGAACGUCAUGCUGAAGAUUUUACAAGACCUCAC